rnacentral:rRNA from 1 species
GAUGAACGCUGGCGGCGUGCCUAAUACAUGCAAGUCGAGCGGACAGAUGAGGAGCUUGCUCCUCUGACGUUAGCGGCGGACGGGUGAGUAACACGUGGAUAACCUACCUAUAAGACUGGGAUAACUUCGGGAAACCGGAGCUAAUACCGGAUAAUAUAUUGAACCGCAUGGUUCAAUAGUGAAAGACGGUUUUGCUGUCACUUAUAGAUGGAUCCGCGCCGCAUUAGCUAGUUGGUAAGGUAACGGCUUACCAAGGCAACGAUGCGUAGCCGACCUGAGAGGGUGAUCGGCCACACUGGAACUGAGACACGGUCCAGACUCCUACGGGAGGCAGCAGUAGGGAAUCUUCCGCAAUGGGCGAAAGCCUGACGGAGCAACGCCGCGUGAGUGAUGAAGGUCUUCGGAUCGUAAAACUCUGUUAUUAGGGAAGAACAAAUGUGUAAGUAACUAUGCACGUCUUGACAGUACCUAAUCAGAAAGCCACGGCUAACUACGUG